CAGCCACACUGGAACUGAGACACGGUCCAGACUCCUACGGGAGGCAGCAGUGGGGAAUAUUGCACAAUGGGCGCAAGCCUGAUGCAGCCAUGCCGCGUGUAUGAAGAAGCCCUUCGGGUUGUAAAGUACUUUCAGCGGGGAGGAAGGCGAUGCGGUUAAUAACCGCGUCGAUUGACGUUACCCGCAGAAGAAGCACCGGCUAACUCCGUGCCAGCAGCCGCGGUAAUACGGAGGGUGCAAGCGUUAAUCGGAAUUACUGGGCGUAAAGCGCACGCAGGCGGUCUGUUAAGUCAGAUGUGAAAUCCCCGGGCUUAACCUGGGAACUGCAUUUGAAACUGGCAGGCUUGAGUCUUGUAGAGGGGGGUAGAAUUCCAGGUGUAGCGGUGAAAUGCGUAGAGAUCUGGAGGAAUACCGGUGGCGAAGGCGGCCCCCUGGACAAAGACUGACGCUCAGGUGCGAAAGCGUGGGGAGCAAA
rnacentral:rRNA from 1 species